AUCAUAAACCAGUGGCAGUAUCAUAGCCAAUGAGAUAUAUCUGAGGAGAGAUUAUUGCUAAUAGAGAACUUCUCCCAAGACCUUGUGUGCUGACUUGAAAUAUAGUCAGCAUUGGCAAUUUGUGACAGUUUCUGUGGAGA
ensembl:snRNA U4 U4 spliceosomal RNA